CGCCCCGAGAACGGUGAAUACUUAAGGGAAGCCCGAGCCAGAUCUGACUUCCUUGGCAGCCUCCACUUGUACAGACGUGGAGCGCAGUUCUGCGUCCCAACCUCAGCCCAGCCGCAGCGGGGCCGCGCCGCCACCAGCUCCCGGUAGCCUCCGCCGGCCCGGCGCUCCUCUGUCGUCUUUCCUUCUGCCUCCGUUUUCUUGCCCUGUUUUUACUCCUACUCCUCCUUUUUAAAGCGGUCAUAUUUUCGCAACAUUAAUAUUUAUUUUGCUUGGUAAUUAGAAAACCCGGAGGAACUCCCUGGUCCCCGUGCGCCCUCGGAGGUCGGCGAGUGCCCGCAUGUGCCCCCCUCCUCGCUCAUUUGCUCUGAAGGGUCCGGCCCUGCCUGCCUUCCAACCCGCUUGUCCCCACCCUGUUCGCUGCUCCCUGUAGAGGAAGCCGAGGAACUUACCUGCGUGUUGGUCCCACUGUCCUGCUAUACUCGACUGGGGGAGGGGGGUGGGGGGUGGCCGUGCUCAGCCGAGUUGGGGCUGGCCCGGACUCCCGCGCUGCUAUUUCUCUAUGCACCAGAUCGUAUUUAUGACUCCUGGGGAAAUAUAUCUUAUUUUAACCUUCCAGAGAAGUGAAAGAAUUUAAAAAGUAAUGCACAGUUCUAGAAGAAAAAUUUUUUUAAAGAGGAGGCUUAGGCCUGAACCUCCUGGCAUGGGCGGGUGGAAAGGUGUUUUUAUUUAAUUUAAAUUGUGUUUCGUUUGUGGAAUCUUUUUUAAAGCUUGGUCGCUUUUUUGGACUAGCCGGAAGAGAGGCCCGGUGGAGGGUGUUCUGAGAUGGGCGCGUCUGCACCGGCUGAGCUCUGGCUUGAUCCCGGGUUCUCUGAGGCUCCUUCGUCCUUUGCUGCUCCCAGGUGGCUCCUGCUGAGCCUUCUGAACAGGACGCUAGACAAAUCGUUGGGGAAAAUUUUUUGUGUUGUUGGUUUUUGUUGUGUUCUUUUUUUUUCCAUUUGUUACAAAACUGAGGAAAGGAAGAAAUUAAAAAAAAUAAAUCUGUUUAGAUCCAAAAGUCACUGGAA
rnacentral:lncRNA from 1 species